rnacentral:lncRNA from 1 species
CAGUCAGUCCAAUAAGUCAAUUCCAGGUGCACAAUAAAGCUUAGGCUGUGACUACGUAGAAACUCUUUGAUAAAUCACAUGUGACCAAGAGGGUGGUUCCAGAGCUAACAGGCCUAGAAUCUAGUGUGGUCUCUGACUGAGAUAGCAGAGGUCAUCAGGUUAGAGAGCACAUGUGACAUCUCCCAGAUGGGGGAUAUCCUUCUGUAUAUAUGUUUCUCUUAUUGGGUAAUGAAUAAAACACUGUUUGGCUAGCGACCAGGCAGGAAGGAUAGGUGGGGCUAUCAGGUGAGGAGAAUUCUGGGAAAGGGAGGCAGAAAGAUGAUGUGCCAGCAUUCUCCACUAAGAUAAGACCACAUGGAAAUACAUAGAUUAAUAGCAAUGGGUUAAUAAUUAACACAGAGCUAGCCAAUCAAUAAGUAGCCCAAGCCAUCGGCCAACAGUUUAAUAAUUAAUAUAGUGUCUGUUUAUUUGGGGUUAAUGGCUGUGGGACCAGGCUGGAGAGAAAACCAGCAACAUCUCCCCUAAGGAUGGGUAAUGGUCUAGGGAGGGAAGAAUCUGGAAUAAUCACUCUGGGGAAUUUGAGUGAGGUCUGCCUCUGUGCAGUAAAGUCACCAGGUCACUAACAACCUGCACUCUCAGCUCUCUGGAUGGUACCUAGUUAUUUGAUUUGUCUCCUCCAUUGAGAAGACACCGCUGAGUGUUAACAUUCCUGGUUCUCUUGGUGCUUUUCUGAGUAUAAGGCCUUCAUACCUGUAGGGAGUCACCCUAGCCCCGCCCAAUAGUCCUGGGGCAGGUACCAGGUGGACCUGGGGACUCGCCCAUAAGGGCGGGGUGAAGGAAAGCCGGGAUGACGUAAAGGGGGCUUCUUAAGGGACUGCACGUGGGGACGGGGCUCUCUCUUUGUUCUGGCCACGCUGGCUGGGUUCUUAACCUAGCUCUGGCCUGUGUUUCACCCGGCUGUGCUUGGAAAUAAAGAGACCAUAAUCCAAUAUCUGGCGCCCAACGUGGGGCUCGAACCCACGACCCUGAGAUUAAGAGUCUCAAAAAUGGAACAGUUUUUCAAAUAUUAUAACAUUAAGCAUGUCACAGGUAUACCACACAACCCUACAGGACAAGCAGUCAUCGAAAGGUCUAACAGGACACUUAAGGAGAUGCUCCAUAGGCAAGCUGGUAAGUCGAAACCCCCCAAACAUAGAUUACAUAAUGCCUUAUUAACGCUAAACUUUCUUAAUGCCAAUGACAUUGGGCAAACAGCUGCGGAAAGACACUGGACUACGAAAAAAAACAGCUGAACUGAACCAACCAGUGUAUUACAAAGAUGUGCUGACCUCGGUAUGGAAACCUGGACAUGUAUUACGUUGGGGUAGGGGUUUUGCAUUUGUCUCCACAGGAGAAGAAAAUCUUUGGAUACCAUCAAAAUUGAUCAAGAUUCGAGUUGAGGGAGACAACCCCCUCGACAAGGAUGACUGACAGCCAUCAAGACCCAGACUGACAGCAAUCCCUGCAUGCUCCGGAAAAGGAAUUAGACUACACCUUCCCGACUACACUGGAUUCAACUCACUCCGUUUCGACUGACACUCCAACCAGAACCUCGAGUAACGACUUCAAUCAAGUUGAGGAUUUCAACGUAGAUCUUCAAUCAAACAAAUCAUAUAACAUGGACUAGACAUAACUCAUUAAAGACUUUCCCUAUACUGACAUUUUUUUCCACAGAGCCCCCACAUGACCAUCUUCGUCCCUUUUCAGCAGGAAGUAACCUAGAAGAUGCUACGCCCCCGUUCCCCAUUAUUGUGUAUUAGGGUAGUGUAAGCCUAGUUAAGAAUAACCUUCUUAUUGUUUAGAGUUGGGAUUGGAAGAAGGUGUUCAAGUUAGACACUUUUUUCACAUGACUUUAAGACUUAGCUAGAAUAGACAUAGGAUGUAUCAUAGCAGAUUAUUGUAUAUUCUUGUAUUCCACCCUUAUGAUUGUUAGUUUUGGAUAUUUUACACUAUUAAGUUUUAAUCCUCUCUUAGACUAAAAGGGGAAUUGUAGGGAGUCACCCUAGCCCCGCCCAAUAGUCCUGGGGCAGGUACCAGGUGGACCUGGGGACUCGCCCAUAAGGGCGGGGUGAAGGAAAGCCGGGAUGACGUAAAGGGGGCUUCUUAAGGGACUGCACGUGGGGACGGGGCUCUCUCUUUGUUCUGGCCACGCUGGCUGGGUUCUUAACCUAGCUCUGGCCUGUGUUUCACCCGGCUGUGCUUGGAAAUAAAGAGACCAUAAUCCAAUACAUACCCUCUCCACCAGACAGUAGCUUUUAGCUACUUUCGGAACUCACUAUGGGUGUACUACAGCUUAUGUAAUAACACUGCUUCCUCCAUUUGUUUGUCUUAUUUUAAAAUUACAUUAAAAAUACAUUUAUGUAUAUGUGUUCAACCAUGCCUCUCAGUGUACAUUCCUCAACACCAGGAUAAUGAGUGUGUGUGUGGGGGUACAUGCAUGUGCAUUCCUGUACACACCACAGUGCACAUGGAGUGAUCAGAGGACAGCUCAGAGGAGCUGACUCUCUCCAACAUAUGAG